UACGUAGGGUGCAAGCGUUAAUCGGAAUUACUGGGCGUAAAGCGUGCGCAGGCGGUUCUAUAAGACAGAUGUGAAAUCCCCGGGCUCAACCUGGGAACUGCAUUUGUGACUGUAGAGCUGGAGUGCGGCAGAGGGGGAUGGAAUUCCGCGUGUAGCAGUGAAAUGCGUAGAUAUGCGGAGGAACACCGAUGGCGAAGGCAGCUCGCUGGGACGGUACUGACGCUGAGACGCGAAAGCGUGGGGAGCGAACAGG
rnacentral:rRNA from 1 species